AGCAACUUACCUCAAAAUAAACUUCAUACUAACUAAUUCCUAUAAGUUCCUAGAUAAACAAGGACAUAACUUGAACUAAAAAAUUAUAUUUCACUCUUGUUUCCUCGUGCCAGAUCUGAAAUCGUGGACUCCGAUUUGAUCACGAUCUGGUCAAAGUAAGCAUAAAAAAUUAAGGGUUGAGCUUGUCGGCUGGGUUUAUUUAACUUAUUAGUUGAAAUAAAUGGCAAUUGUUGGAUUGUGAAUAUGUGAUCAGACAAACACAGCUUAUCAUGUAGAAUAACUCAUUAUAUAAAUAAGAUUAGGACAAAAUUAUGCAGAUCGGUUGUAAAAAGCUAUGCUUUUUGUCAUCUGGAUAUGCUCGAUACAUACAGAUCAUAUAACAUCUGACCAUAUAACAAUUUUCUUGUAUGUUUUGCUUAAAAAAGGGUCGCUUUGUGCUCUAACGGACAUCAAAAUAACAAAUUUCGAAAGAGGUACCAGAAGUCGUGAAAAUUUCACUUGAUAAAAUAAUGAAAUCACUUGGAAAGAUGUGAAAGGCACAAAUUUAUAUAGUAAAGCAAAGUGUUUUUGGAGCUGUUACAAGUUGAGUUUUGGCCUGAAAAACACAAUUCUGUGUGUGGAAGAUAACGAUCAAAGAAAUCGAUUUUAAUUAGCAUGAAAAUUUCAAAAGAAAUAAAAUAAAACAAUUGUGUUACUUGUCAGAUCUGAAACUGUAUCAUAUAUUAAUUCAUCUAAGAACAAGUUAAUAAGGGGGAAAACAUUAAUUGCUAGGUAACUUCAACGGCACAGAAACGGGACUAAUAUACUAUACAAGCAAGAGACAUGGAAAGUUAUUGAAAAAACGUAGCUCAAUCGUCAGGAAGAGAAUACCAUAGGCUUAAAUCAUAUCCUUGAAAAAAAUAUAUAUAUCAACCGGAGCUUAAAGAAGCAACAAAACGUCGAUUUUUUUCAAAGCAAAGUAAGAUCUCAACGGGGGAGAGAGAAAUUUACCAGAGCGAGCUGUACAGCAAUGUAUGGUUCCUCCGGAAGGAGGAUUUCAAAUGGGACAGCAGAAAAAUAAAGAGAAAAAAUGGGUCAGAGAUAGAUAAGAAAAAAAAAAAAAACCAAAAGAUGUUCGAACAGAUUUAUAGGGGAGAGAAAGUACAGAGAAUCAGAAAAAGAAAUAGAGAGCGAAAACACAGCUGUUGAUGGACGAAUAACUGGAGAGGAGACAGAAACUAAAAAAGUACGUGAGGGUAGCGAAAACUGUAAGGCUGUAAUAAAAGAAAAAAUAAUUUUUUUUAUCGUAAAAAAAUAAAUCACAUUUUUAUGUGAUAAAAAUAUGUAUAAAAACUAGUGCUGUUAAAAAAAUUAUGAGUUUUCAAAUUUAUAAAUCACACUGAUAAAAAAACAUUUUACUACUACUAUAAAUCACUACUCACGCUGGCGUUGCGUCUCGCGAUAAAUCUUAUCGGUUUUCGCACCCACUCCGAACCGAACGAGUAGCAAAACUAGCAGGCCUAAUUUCAGUUGGUCGGGUAUAUAAAAAAACGUAGACGCUGCAGUAUGUAGACACGUCAUAUUUGAAUGGCCUAU
rnacentral:lncRNA from 1 species